GUCUAUGCCAUACCACCCUGAACACACCCGAUCUCAUCUGAUCUCAGAAGCUAAGCAGGGUUGGUCCUGGUUAGUACUUGGAUAAGGAGACCAACCAUAACCUUAUCAUCAGUGCAGAAAAUCUGAAAGAAUUGACA
rnacentral:rRNA from 1 species